CUCAGUUUCCCCAUGUGUUACUCAAGUAUCAAGCUGGUGGGAUACAGGUGUGUGAUCACUGCAGAGACCUGUAGAGGGCAAGUGUGACUGCAGAGUGGCUCUCUGGGCAUAGAGAAUGGCCAGGAUUCUGUAUCCUGGCAAGCAGUGGCCGAAAAUAGUCCUCUGCAAGGAGCCAUCCGAAGGUGCUGGAGAACAAAGAGAGAGGGGGAGGCCAGCUGGGAGGAGGGGCAGCUGGGCGUCAAUGAGGAUGGGGGGCUGGAAGCGGGUCAGUCUCCUGGUUUGGACUCAGCGGGGAGAGUCCAGGGCUCAGGACACUGGAUUCCCCUGAGAUGGACUCUGCUGAAUGCUCCUGAUUUCUGUGCUAACAAGCUCUGUUCUAUGCUGUGUUCCCAGUGACCAAUAAGCCUGUUUUCCAAGCCGGUUGAGAGUCACAGCUGACAGUGGAGGUGCGGUGCAGGGACCCUGGGGGGAGCGUAUCAGGAUUCUCUUUAGGUUGCCCCCAUGGAUGAGGCUGGGGCCGUGUGCCCUCCCUGGGCCACAGGGAAGCUGGGGUCACAUGCUUAGUGGGUGUGGGGGGGACGUUGGGGUCCUCAGGGGCUGGGGUCCUGCCCCUACAGCCAGGGGGGGCCUGCCAUCCCCAGCCCUAGAUUCACCCCCCACCAGCUGUACCCUGUUCUUAUCCCCGACUCUUAGUCCCAGGCAAAGGGGCUGAAAGAAUCUGUACAGUAAGGGGCACAGAGAG